GAUAAAGUCAAUGCAAAGGAUUAGCCGAGAAUACUUGAGUCCACAUGAUGGAAGGAACUGGAUGCCGUUUAAUGAAUAAGUAAUUUAAGCAAACAGAAAGCCUACUUGGGUGAUUAAAGAGACACGGAUGACAACAACAACAAGAACAAUAGCAAGAAGCUAACCCUGGGAAGAUCCCAGUAGUCAACUGGGUGUAGACAAAUGCAAUUCUGGACCUAUGGAUGCAUCUACCUAAGAUCAACACCUAUGGCAUUGACAAGAGCUGAGAAGAAGUGAAGAAUCUUGCCAAGCAAGAGCAGCAUGUGCAUAAGAGAACCAGGCCCUAGCCCAACAUGCCGUUCCUCCCACAUCCAUCCAAGGCGCACCUCACAGGUCACCUGCCAUGUUCAUUCUGGAGAAAACACAGCUUGGGGAAAAUUGGAGACAGACACACAGGGAGGGUGCCAUGUGAAGAUGAAGGCAGAGAUUGAAGUGAUGUGACUACAAGCCAAGGAAUGCCAAAGAUCGCCAGCAAACCAGAAGCUCGGGGAGAGGCCUGGAACAGAUUCCGCCUCAGUCCCCAGAAGGAACUCAUGCUGCUGACACCAUGAUCGUGGACUUCCAGCCUCCAGAACUGUGAGACGAUAAGUAUCUGUUGUUUGAACCUCCCAGGUUGUGGUACUUUGUUAUGGCCGUUCCAGCAAACACAUAAACCAUUGUCAUCUUUGAUAACCCUGUGGCUCCUCCUCUCCCUGUCUUCCUAGUGCCUUCCUUCAAGGGUAUCCUGCAGGCAACUGGAGCAGCUGCUUGGAGGGAUGCACAAAGGAAAUGCCAAAACCACAGUGAGGUCCCGUCUCACACCGGUUACUAUGUCUAUUAUCACAAAGUCAAAAAAUAACAGAUACUGGUGAGGUUGUGGAGAAAAAGGAACGCUUUCACACUCUUGGUGGGAGUGUAGAUUAGUUCAAUCAUUGUGGAAGAUGAUAGUGUGGCAAUUCCUCAAAGACCUAAAGACAGAAAUACCAUUCGAUCCAGUGAUCCCAUGACUGAGCAUAUACCCAAGGAAUAGAAAUCAUUCUGUUAUAAAGAUACAUGCAUGUGCAUGUUUAUUGCAACACUAUUCUCAAUAGUCAAGACAUGGAAUCAACCUAAAUGUCCAUCAGUGGUAGACUGGAUAAAGAAAAUGUGGUACAUAUACACUAUGAAAUACUAUGCAGCUGCAAAAAGGAACAAGAUCAUGUCCUUUGCGGGAGCGUGGAUGGAGCUGGAGGCCAUUAUCCUCAGCAAACUGACGCAGGAACAGAAAACCAAACGCUGUAUGUUCUCACUUAUAAGUGGGAGCUAAAUGAUGAGAACACAUGGACACAGCGAGGAGAACAACACACAAUAGGGCCUACUGGAGAAUGGAGGGCGGGAGGAAGGAGAGGAUCAGGAAAAAUAACUAAUGGAUACUAGGCUUAAUACCUGGGCGAUGAAAUAAUCCGUAUAACAAACCCCCAUGAUAUACAUGUUUACGUGUGUAACAAACCUACUCAUCCUGCACAUGUACCCCUGAACUU